rnacentral:tRNA from 1 species
AUUUAAAUAGUUUAAAGAAAAUAAAGAAUUGUGAUUUCUUAGAUAUAUUUACUUAUUUUAAAUU